UACGGGGGGAGCAAGCGUUGUUCGGAUUUACUGGGCGUAAAGGGCGCGUAGGCGGCCACCGCAAGUCGACUGUGAAAUCUCCGGGCUUAACCCGGAAAGGUCAGCCGAUACUGCGGGGCUAGAGUGCAGAAGGGGCAACUGGAAUUCUCGGUGUAGCGGUGAAAUGCGUAGAUAUCGAGAGGAACACCUGCGGCGAAGGCGGGUUGUUGGGCUGACACUGACGCUGACAGCGCGAAAGCUAGGGGAGCGAACGGG
rnacentral:rRNA from 1 species